rnacentral:lncRNA from 1 species
UAACAAAGAAUAAGCUCUCAUAAAUAAUCUUAAAUGCAAUCAAAUAAUUUCCUACAUCACUUUUCAUAUGUUGCAAAGCAAAGUAGGUAUCAGUGACAUCCUUUCACAUAUCAAUGGACAUGUAAUUAAGUAAUACAGUUUAUCUUUUAGGCUUAGAUGUCUUUUACCGUCGCUUCUUUAAAAAAAAAAAAUUCAUUGAUGGAACACGUAAAUAACAAGAACAACAUGACCUUAUACCAACCACAAACUGGGUGUUCCAAGAAAAAAAACACAAACUGCAACAUAUAACGUAGUUUCAAAUUACUUUCCCUCAUAUUAUUCAUUUCUAUUUGUUGUUGUUUUUCAAGAAUUACAAACGUCAAUGUCUCUUUCCUUUCGUACACUGUAAACACUAAAAGAUUUGUAUUAUUAUUAUUUUUUGUUUAAAACAAUACUAAAAGCCCCAUAUAGUGAGCAAUUAGGCUAUCCACAUCAGCAAUUAUAAUCAACCAAUCACAACAUUUUGUUUUGACACAUCAGAUGGGCUCAGAUAGAUGGGCUCAAAUGCUUAAUUUUUACAUCGCAUAAUAAUAAUGCCCUUUGCUACGCUAUCUAAUAUGCGCACAUUUACAUCGCAUCAAACCUUAUGCUUCAUGUAAACAAUAGUACAAAUUGAUACAAAUCCAUGUGCAUAUAUAUUAAAGAUUUCAAAAUUUGGAGUGGGCCAUGGGGCACGGUUGCACUGACCACCCCCAAUACUAAGCCUCCCCUGGAUCCGGGUUCAGUUAUUUAUUGGGCUUGCUUAUUUCCCCUUGCACAACAUCCAACUUUCUUUGCACGAUUGCUUUUCCUGCGAAACAAAUGGUUUCACUUCUAGAUACAUAACAAAGAAUAAGCUCUCAUAAAUAAUCUUAAAUGCAAUCAAAUAAUUUCCUACAUCACUUUUCAUAUGUUGCAAAGCAAAGUAGGUAUCAGUGACAUCCUUUCACAUAUCAAUGGACAUGUAAUUAAGUAAUACAGUUUAUCUUUUAGGCUUAGAUGUCUUUUACCGUCGCUUCUUUAAAAAAAAAAAAUUCAUUGAUGGAACACGUAAAUAACAAGAACAACAUGACCUU